rnacentral:rRNA from 1 species
GAUGAACGCUGGCGGCGUGCCUAAUACAUGCAAGUAGAACGCUGAAGGAGGAGCUUGCUCUUCUGGAUGAGUUGCGAACGGGUGAGUAACGCGUAGGUAACCUGCCUGGUAGCGGGGGAUAACUAUUGGAAACGAUAGCUAAUACCGCAUGACAACAGUUAUUGCAUGAUAACUGUUUAAAAGGGGCAACUGCUCCACUACCAGAUGGACCUGCGUUGUAUUAGCUAGUUGGUGAGGUAACGGCUCACCAAGGCGACGAUACAUAGCCGACCUGAGAGGGUGAUCGGCCACCCUGGGACUGAGAACCGGCCCAGACCCCUACGGGAGGCAGCAGGAGGGAAUUUUCGGCAAUGGACGGAAGUCUGACCGAGAAACCCCGGGGGGGUGAAGAAGGUUUUCGGAUCGUAAAGCUUUUUUGUAAGAGAAGAACGGGUGGGAGGGUGGAAAGUUCACCCUGUGACGGUAUUUUACCAAAAAGGGACGGCUAACUACGU